UACGUAGGGUGCAAGCGUUGUUCGGAUUUACUGGGCGUAAAGGGCGCGUAGGCGGCGUGGUAAGUCACUGGUGAAAUCUCUGAGCUUAACUCAGAACGGCCAAGUGAUACUGCUGUGCUAGAGUGCAGAAGGGGCAAUCGGAAUUCUUGGUGUAGCGGUGAAAUGCGUAGAUAUCAAGAGGAACACCUGAGGUGAAGACGGGUUGCUGGGCUGACACUGACGCUGAGGCGCGAAAGCCAGGGGAGCAAACGGG
rnacentral:rRNA from 1 species